AUGCCUAAGCUGAUCUUCCGUCUUGCUCCCAGAAUGGCAGAGCAUUGCAAGAUCUCUGUUGCCAUGGUAGCUGAAUCUGAGGAAAGGCCAUAUGCGCGAUCAUACGUGUUCAAGGUGGAUGGAUACUCAAGAGCCAAGGCGCUACUCAAGAACGGCGAGUACCUAACCUCUGAACCUUUCAGUGUUGGAGGCCACGACUGGGUCAUGACCUAUUACCCAAACGGCAGCAAGAUUUGUCCGGACGACAUAUCACUUUUUCUACAUCUUCACCCCGCCGGUGCCGAAGAUGUGAAGGCGAAAUUCACGUUCAGUCUACUUGACGAGAACGGAGAACCGGUGCCUUCAUACACCCGUGCCCACGACGAUAUACAUAUAUUCUCAAGGAAAGCUCCAAAUUGGGGCUACCAUAACCUAAUGAAGAAGGCUAAGCUGGAAAGAUCGGGGCAUCUGACAAACGACUGUCUCACCAUCGGAUGCCAUGUCACCGUCGUGCAGGAGAUCCUCGGCAAAGAAGAAACAAGGGCUUCUCCAGCAAGCGACUUGCACCGGCAUCUUGGUGAUCUCCUCGAGAGCAAAGAUGCAGCAGACCUGACAUUUCAAGUAGGCGGAGAGAUAUUCCAUGCUCAUAGGUGUAUCCUAGCCACUCGGUCAUCUGUCUUCAAGGCGGAGCUCCUCGGCGGCAUGGAGGAGAGUUCUGGUAGUCUCAUUGAAAUUCGUGACAUGGAACCUGAUGUGUUCGAGGCCUUGCUCCAUUUCAUAUACACCGAAAAAGUUUCUCCCGUGAUUGAUGUGGUGAUGGCCAGCCAUCUACUCGUAGCAGCGGAUAGGUACAACAUUGGUAGCCUGAAGCAGAUAUGCGAGGAUAAAUUGUGUUGUCAUAUUGAUUCAAACAUGGUGGCAACUAGUUUAGCUAUAGCUGAGCAACAUGGUUUCCAUGGUCUCAAAGAAGCUUGCUUACGGUUCCUUGCUUCUCCAUCCAAUUUGGAGGCGAUGAUGGCAAGCAACGGUUAUGAGCAUCUCAAGUCCAGUUGUCCGUCUGUUCUCAAGGAGCUCAUAGCUAGAAUACUCCCGGCUAAAUGGAACGUGGCAAAGGAUAUUAUCAUGGAACUUUAG
rnacentral:rRNA from 1 species